ensembl:snoRNA
AUCCUUUGGUAGCUCAUGAGUGUGAUGAUCAGGUGCUCACACACGUGUGAGAUGUGCCCCCCUUGGACCACAUUUUGAAGUCAGCACAUUAUCUGUCUGACA